rnacentral:lncRNA from 1 species
GAUCGUGUGUGUGUGUGUGUGUGUGUGUGUGUGUGUGUGUGUGUGUGUGUGUGUUCUGAGACACCACUACUGUUAAAUAGGCAGAGCUAAGACUUAGGGGACUGGCAGAUUAUUGCAAAAGGGCACGGGGCAGAGGGACUAUGUUGUGAGCCUGCGAAAGAAGUUUGUGUGGGGACUGUGGGCAGUGAACGCGUUGGGAACAAUAUGGAAAACUGGGAGCCGCCUUGGAAUCUACAGGGCCGGACUUCAAUCCAACAGGACCCACUCGAGCCAUCCACACUUGCCCCAGCCUCCUCCAAAACAGCACACUUUCCGGUAUGGACAAUUCUUUUUUUUUUUUUUCACUUAUUUGUUUGUUGUGGUGGUAGCAACAGCAGCAACACAGACGACACGUAUUUCCCUAUUCUUCUCGCCCUUCUCACCCUCCCUACCCAGCUCCUGCCUUAGAAACAGGCUUGGCCUACACUGUAUCUGUCCACACUGUCUGAACUCUUCCCUGAAUUAAUCGUUUUCAGUAGGAGGGGGCUGAAUCCCUUAUUAAUGCCCUACCAGGAGUGAAUGAAUAAAGCCAAGUUAAAGGAGAACUGGGUACCAGAUACUGUGCUAGGUUCGUUUGCAUGUACCCUUUCAUUCUGCUGGAGCUAAAGAUUUUCUGCCUCCUCUCCAUAAAACGCACCCAAACUCCAAAACCAGGAAAUUCUCCAUAGAAAAUAGGAGUGAAGAGAGAAAAGACUAACAGGAUAAAACUCAAAGCAGGAAGAAAGUUCUAUCUCCCAUUUCUCUCAAGGAAUUUUUGGACCCACCAAGGCUACUGUCCUGAAAUAUCCUGCUGCUUCUCCUUCCCCAAAUAUUGUCCACUUCCUGAGAGUAAGGCUGACUUGCCGCAGGCUUAUAAAGUGUUUGGUCACAGUAAGACAACUGUGAGUAAUAACACACAUUGUAUACUGUUUUGCAAUUGAUAAAAGGCUUUGCAUCUGUUUUUCCUUUGGAGGCUGAAGAAAAGAAGAAUGGUAUUCACGCAGUUCCCAUUUUACAGAUGAAAACAAGAGGACUUUUUCUGUGAAGUCAAGAAAGUGGUUACAAUGGUACUUUCAGCCUGUCCGAAUUAUGUAUUGCCCCUCCCCUUUUUAUUAAUAACAUUGAAGUGUGAUGGGACAACCACUGAAGCCGUCAGUUGAAACCUGCUGGGACUUUUUAGCCAUUCUCUUCAACAUAAAGAAUGGGUGUUUUUGGAGGGGGUGAGAGGAAUGGGGAAAUGUUGUCAAAGAGUACAACGUUUUAGUUGAGACAGGAAGAAUAUAUUUUGUUGAGAUCUACAGCACAGCAUGGUGACUGUAGUUAACAAUGAAGUAUUGUCUAUUUCCAAAUUGCUAAGACAAUAAAUUUCAAAUGUUCUCACCACAAAAAAGAUAGGUUUUGAGGUGAUGAAUCUAUUAAUUCUCUGGAUUUAAUUAUUCCACAAUGUAUACAUAUAUCAUAAUAUCACAUUAUACCUCCGUAAAUACAUACAAUUUUAAUUUGUCAAUUAACAUUUUUUUAAUAGAAUAGUGUGGCCAGUCGGGGAGGUAGUGUUGUUUUUUUUUUUUUCCUCUAGUCUCUACUCAGUCUCCAAGAUCCCAUUCCCCAUAAAGUUCCUGUCACCCAGGUGGAGUGCAGUGGCACAAUCAUGGCUCACUGCACCCUCUCCCUCUUGGGCUCAAGCGAUCCUCCCGCCUACAGGUACAUGCCACCACGCCCAGCUAGUUUUUGUAGUUUUUGUAGACAUGGGGUUUCACCAUGUUGCCUAGGCUGGUCUCGAACUCCUCAGCUCAAUCAAUCUGCCCACUUUAGCCUCCCACAGUGCUGGGAUUGCAGGUGUGAGCCACCAAGCCCAACCCAUAAAGUUCCUAACUUUUUAUCUCCCUGGGAGUGCACAGCCUACACACACCAGUUUCUCUUUAGAACAUACUUAAGAGUCUUGGCUUAGCAUCCAACAGACAAAACUUUAACACUUCUAGGGAUCUGUGCACCUGUCUAUGGCGUGGGGUUUUUAAGAUCUCUUUCUAAUGACACUUCAUUUUACAAAGCAGGACAGUUUCAUUCCCAGAAGAGCAGGUAUGGUAAAUCCUUUGUUCCAGUAACGAAGGCAAUGAUCCAAACCCUAAGCCUCAGAGAAGCCCAGAAACCCUCCAGGCCUCCAUCUCUCUGCUCCUAGCACCUGCCUCUCUCUUGACAUCAACAUCAUUCUCCCCUCUCACAGCCCAGCUCCUUCCACAGACCCAGGGAUUAGGCACCAGCACCUCAGACUAGAUUUUAGAGAAUUACCAUUCAAGAGGCAAUCCUCUUCCCUUGGUUCCAAUUUCAAGGUUCUCAAAGACUGGAACAGGGCUAGUUUGAGGCAAUGUGCCCCACCGCAUAGCCAGAAAGAACCUUACAGUGAAAAGGAAAACAAUUCUUCAAAAGUAAGGGGGUGCUGAUCCCCAGAGGGAGGACAGAUGGGCAACCAAACAGUAACCGGGCCACCACGUGCUUCACACUCACUGAUCAAGGAUUUCUAAAACCACUUUUCUUUUCUCUGAAUUUAUAUAGGACUUUGUAUCACUCAUAAAGGAAUGUCUUAUAGGCUGAUAACACCUUUCUAUUCAUGCUUAUACUUAACAUUUAGGCUAGGAUAAUUUCCUAACCUCAGUGUCCUCACUAUAAGAUGGGAAUUAUUAUAAUCCCUACCUCAUAAAUUGUUGGGAGGAUUAAAAUACUUAGUAAAGUGCCUGACUAAUAGAAAGGCAUUCAAUAAAUGUUAGCUAUUCAUGGUGUCGUCAUCAUUAUAUUUACCAUUAUUACUAAUCUCCUGUAUUGCAAGAAUUACAGUUUAUAUUUUCGUAGACCAUCACUGUAGCUAAAGGGUCUUUGGGCCAUAGGUGAUAUUCCAUAAAGGUUGGUUAAAUUGAUCUGUGGUUUUUGACUAUGGAAACUCAGAACUCCCUCAAAAUGUACAAAACAGAUUUACCUGCUAAAUAAAUC